CUUUCUCUUAUACUCUCCUCCGUGGCUCUUGCCUUGUCUCUCUUUCCUGUCCCCAAAACUCUGUGCCAGGAAAGACUAGAACUUGUGUGCGGAAUUGCUACGAUGUAGCGGUUAAGAGUGUGGCUCUGGGGAGCCCGGGGUGGCACCGUUGGGUAAAUGUCCCACUCUUGAUCUCAGCUCAGGUCCUGAUCUCACAGUUCCUGAGUUCGAGCUCCGCAUCGAGUUCUGUGGCGAUGGCCUGGGGGCCGCUUGGGAUUCUGUCUCUCCUUCUCUCUGCCCCUCCCCUGCUUGUGUGCCCCUCCCCUGUCUCUCUUUCUCUCUCUCAAAACAAACUUAAACAGAAAUUAAAAAAAAAAAGAAUGUGGCUCUCUUGCUUGAUGGCGUGGAGCUAAUACUCUCCAUCUGAAUGGCUCUGGGGAAGUGACUUAACCUUUCUGUGCCUUGAGUUCUCAUCUACAAAAGAGGGAUCAUAAUGCUUCCUGUUUUGUGCCCCUGUGAAGUUUCGAUAAGCUCAAGGCGCUGAAGGAGGUAGAAAAACACGAGUAAGAUGUUCAGUAAAUAUGAACUGACAUCCCCGGAUCAAAAUCUCCGUUUUCUUUAAUUUGAAAGGAUGACAAGUUGAAAGACGCUCAUCAUAGGUGAUUGAGUAACAAGAGGUCACAAAACAAUAAGUGUAAUGUAAUUUCAUGUUGUAAAAAUAGUAUCUAUAUUUACACAUGCAAAAGAGAUACAUAGAAUUUCCUAGAUUAUGGGUUAUUUAUAUCCUCCUUUGUGCUUUCUAAUUUCUCUAAAAUGAACAUAUAUUCUGUGUAAUAAACUACACUUUAAACACGCCUUGAGUACGCCUGUUUAUAUUUUGUUCUGUGCAGUGUUUAAAUUAGUGAGUUACAACACAGAGACUGUGUAUACAUGCGAGAAGACCACCCUUUGAUGUGGUCAUUUUGAUAGGGUUCAGGUUGUGGGGAGACAGCCAAAUUAGAUGGGUAAUCUCAGAGAGCUUUAGAAAUCGGAGGGGCGCCUGGGUGGCUCCUCUGGUUAAGCGUCUGACUUCGGCUCAGGUCCUGAUCUCGAGGUGCGUGAGUUCGAGCCCCGCGUCGGGCUCUGGGUGGACAGCUCGGGGCCUGGAGCCCGCUUCGGAUUCUGUGUCUCCCCCUGUCUCAGGCCCUCCCCAUCCUCAUGCUCUGUCUCUCUCUCUGUGUCUCUCAAUAAUAAAUCACCGUUAGAAAUUGGAAACUGAGGCGCAGAAACUGAAGCAAUUAGCCCUGGUUGGGGGAACGGAAAGGUCACGCGCUGCAGCUCGAGACGUGAGUCAUGAGGUGCCGUGCAGAUGCUCCAUCCGUGGAGAGGUUCCGAACUGGAGCUUUGUGGGACUCCAGCCUUCUUCAGGGAGGAACAGGCAGAAGGAUGCUGGAGGAGACACCGCUUUCCCACGGGACACCGUGUGCUAAGAGACUACGGAAGGACCCCCUGACAAGAGGUUUACAGAGCAGCCGUUGCUCAACUGGGGAAGCAGCUACGAGUGCAGGGUCUACAAGAGUGCACACAUCUGUCCCGCGAGAUGAUGCCCUCUGCCCGUGGGCUGGUCCUACAAGCGAUCCUAAAGAGAAAAGCAAACAGAGCCUCCACGCCCUGCAAAUGACAGAUGUUUAACUCCUCUGAGGCUUUGUUCUUCACCUUAAUCACAGCUACACGAAGAAAAACACGAGCAAAGGCAUCAUCCGUGAGAUGAACGCAUUGACCCUCUAGAAUAUUUAUAAUUACACAGGUACCUGGAGAUGGAGGUGGGGGUGGGUGGGAACGGGACUCACCCCCUCCUCCCUGCCCACUUAAAUUUCUUAUUUUGUCUUGCUGCAUGGUAGUAGCAGUUUGUGAUCAGAAAUCACCCAAUCUUUGGGUCAGUGUGGGCAGAAGUGACCAUGGAUACCCAUUUGACUGCAACCAUGCAGAUCUUCCCAGAGUAGAGUGGGAAAGAACUAAAUGAUGGCCGUCAUUGGCGUUUAGUGCAAUUGCGAACGUUUAAGAAACCCAGAGUAGGUAUUCAGGGCAUGGUGUUUAAUCCCUUUUGUUGUUUGUUUUUCGUUUUUGUUUUUGUUUAAAGGAGCAAAAUCCAGGGAACCAAAUCCACAGGAAGUCUCUGUGGGAGACGAAGGUCAAGUGGAAAGGGGAAAGUGGCCACUUUACGAUGUAGUGCUCCAGAGGCAAAGCAAAUUGCAUUUCGCCAGGGAGAUUUGCUUAACCCUCAGCAGGUUCAGACAGGGAAACCCAUUUGCAAAUCCCCAGACAAUGAUGGUGGAAUGUCCUUCUCCCUCCCCCACCCAACCAGGAAACCCAAUACCCUAUGCUGGGAACUCAGAAAUAAAAAGUACUUAUGUCUAGUACGGAAAACAUACAAAGGUUUCCGUACAGAUUUAAAUUUCUCAGAAAGGCAGCAAAGAGGACACCAUGACAGAUCUCUUUUUCACUGUUCCCUUGCGUUAAGAACUCUUAAGGCUGGAGGGGACUUUGUGAGCCACCCCAACCCGUGUCAUUUUACGCAGAAGUCGAGAUCCAAUCCUUUUUGGAAGAGCGAUCUCUAGUGCAAGAAUCGUAGGGGCUUUAGUGGAGCCAGAAUGUUCCAACACUCACGUUAGAAGCAGCCCUGCACAAACCACUUGGUGGAAUCACAUCCUAAAUUGUUGACAGGGACGCGGAUUGUGUUAUUGUUGUUGUCAUAGCUACAAGCUGUGCUGUCAUUUCCUGGAACCCCGGGGAGUUUUAUGGGCAGAGCUUAGUGGAAUAAUAGAGAUGUGUCUUCAGCAACUCACCGACCCAUUGGUUGAGUCCCUCCUUUCUGCUCUCCGAUCAUAGAGUUGUUUUCAUUGUCCCAUGGCAACUGCGUGGUGGUCCCUUUACUGAGCCCCGUCCCUCCUGGUUCUGGGAAAUCAUCAUCAUCCACAACCAAACUCUGACAUACCUGCUUUGUUUUAUGAGCCAAAUUUCUUAUGGUGUGUUCUUUAGGGCCCUGGUUCCUUGACAUCUUGUUAGAUGUUCCUUAACAUAAGUAUCUCUUGGCCCAUGAGGUCUGAACAUUUCGAUGUUAAACGAAUUUUGAUCGGUAUAAUUUUGAUGUGUAUAAACAUGUUUGCAUAUUAUGCUCCUCUUUAAAAAAAUGUUAAUUUAUUUUUGAGACACAGACAGAGACAGACAGAGCGUGAGCAGGGCAGGGGCAGAGACAGAGGGAGACACAGAAUCCCAAGCAGGCUCCAGGCCCUGAGCUGUCAGCACAGAGCCCGACGCGGAGCUUGAACUCACGAACCGUGAGGUCAUGACCUGAGCCGAAGUCGGACGCUCAACCGACUGAGCCACCAGGCUCCCCUUAAAUCUCAGCCAUGUUUGGAAGCGUGUGCUUCAUAUCAGCUCUGGGUCCCAGAACAGCCUGACGGAUCGUGAGGUUCCAGCCGUUCGAAAGACACCACUUUCCAGCGUCAGCUCUAAGUGUGCCUUCCAAGUCCAACCUAUUUCAGAUUCAAAACGUGCUGUGACUUCUGUUCUGGUGAAAGCUGCUGGUCCCAGGAAAGAAUGAAGCAUGUUCAAGCAUCCUUCUUUCCUUCGCUCCAUCAAGAUGCGCACCGCACAGGGAGUUCUGGGGGCAUCCCGGGGCUGGUUUGGAGGGGCUCCGAUCCGGGAGCCCCUCAUAUAGCGUCUCAGGAUGCAAAGUCCUGGGCUCGACUCCUCAAGGAUUUGGUCUUCCAGGAAGCUCGAGAAAACUUCUGGACACAGAGAUGUCUCCCUCCUGGCUAAACCUGCCUUCUCUCGCCUCUGUUCCACCCUGGGAAGUCCGGAACAGAUGAUUUAAUCUAGAUUUUUUCAACUUCAGGAAGAAACUUUGUUAUUUUGGGGACCCUUUCACCCGGGUUCAUUUUUCCUUGCCUUCUCUCCACGCACAUUGGCUUGAAUUAAGAUGUGAGUCCAAAGAGGUCAUUCGAUCUUCUGACUUUUGGGCUCAGGGCAGAGGCACAGAUGGAGUCCUGGUGGUUCUUAUGUACGAAGGGUUUUACAUAGGGGUUUGGACCCAAAGGUUGUGGUGGUAAAUGACGGAUUUUCUCUAGAAUGGCUCUUCUGCAUGUGUCUUGGGUCAACCUUCAGUCAUAAUAGAAAUUGCAAUAAAGUGAGUCAAAUGAGUAUUUUUGUUUCCCAGUGCAUGAAAGUUAUGUUUACACUAUACUGUAGCCUAUUAAGUGUAAAUAGCAUUAUGUCUUUAAAAAAAACAAUGCACUUGUUAUUUAUUUACUUAUUUAUUUAUUUAUAGUUUAUUUAUUUAUUUUGAGAGAGAGAGAGCAUGCAUGCAACCAGGGGAGGGGCAGAGAGAGGGAGAGAGAGAAUCCCAAGCAGGCUCCACACUGUCAGCACAGAGCCCAACGUGGGGCUCGAUCCCACAAACCGUGAGAUCAUGACCUGAGCCGAAAUCAAGAGUCGGACAUAUCCAACUGAGGCACCUACGCGCCCCCCAAUGCGCAUGUUUUCAUUAAAAAAUACUUUAUUGCCAAAAAAGGCUAACUAUCUGAGCUUUCAGUCAGCUGUAAUCACUGAUUACAGACCACCAUAACAAAUAUUAUAAUGAUGAAAAAUUUGAGAUGUUGAGAGAAUUACCAAAAUAUGACACAGAGACAUGAAGUGAGCAGACGCUAUUGGAGAAAUGUCACCAAUAAACGUAGACAAUGUAGGGUUGCCACAAACUUGCAAUUUGUAAAAAAUGCCCUAUCUGCCAAAGCGCAAUAAACUGAAGUGUAAUAAAACAAGGUAUGCCUGUAAAUAGAUGGGGAAUUUCAGAUUCUGGAUCCCGGAUCCCUGGAUCUCUCCUUCUCAGGGACACAACAGUGGUUUUGAGUGUAUAAGCCAAAAACAAAUGGCUUAUACAUCUGAUGACGUUGGCAGCCAAGAGCAUUUUAGAAGAGUCCCCAUUCAAUUUCCCUUUCCAGAGGUUGAACCUACCUCUGAAUUUAAUGGGUAAUUAUUUUUCAGUAGGAACAUGUACUUCCAAAUAAAUAAGCACUGAACUUUUGAAACUGUCCCAUGGCUUAAUUGGAAUGCAGUUCAAGCUGUCAUCACCCAAGAGGCCAGAAUUAAAUUCUAGGGAGAUAAGCAUUUCCUGUCUGACUUCCCUCAUGGAGUAGGCUUCGUGCUGUGUGAACAGCGGGAAGGAAUGGGCAAUGUUGGUUUCUAUAUUUGACCAGGAGAUGGCACCAUCUGGAAACCUAUCUCCACAUCUCACUAGAAACAAGGAGUUUCUGUUUUUCACAGGGAGGUCAAAGAUGCAAAGCAGAGCUGGAAAAAAACCAAAUAUCGUAAAAGACCAUAAUUCAUACAGUGAAGAUUCUUGCUGUCUCUG